rnacentral:rRNA from 1 species
UACGUAGGGGGCAAGCGUUGUCCGGAAUUAUUGGGCGUAAAGCGCGCGCAGGCGGUCCUUUAAGUCUGAUGUGAAAGCCCACGGCUCAACCGUGGAGGGUCAUUGGAAACUGGGGGACUUGAGUGCAGGAGAGAAGAGUGGAAUUCCACGUGUAGCGGUGAAAUGCGUAGAGAUGUGGAGGAACACCAGUGGCGAAGGCGACUCUUUGGCCUGUAACUGACGCUGAGGCGCGAAGCGUGGGGAGCAAACAGG